CUUGAAAUACCACCCUUUAAUGUUUGAUGUUCUAACGUGGACCCGUAAUCCGGGUUGCGGACAGUGUCUGGUGGGUAGUUUGACUGGGGCGGUCUCCUCCUAAAGAGUAACGGAGGAGCACGAAGGUUGGCUAAUCCUGGUCGGACAUCAGGAGGUUAGUGCAAUGGCAUAAGCCAGCUUGACUGCGAGCGUGACGGCGCGAGCAGGUGCGAAAGCAGGUCAUAGUGAUCCGGUGGUUCUGAAUGGAAGGGCCAUCGCUCAACGGAUAAAAGGUACUCCGGGGAUAACAGGCUGAUACCGCCCAAGAGUUCAUAUCGACGGCGGUGUUUGGCACCUCGAUGUCGGCUCAUCACAUCCUGGGGCUGAAGUAGGUCCCAAGGGUAUGGCUGUUCGCCAUUUAAAGUGGUACGCGAGCUGGGUUUAGAACGUCGUGAGACAGUUCGGUCCCUAUCUGCCGUGGGCGCUGGAGAACUGAGGGGGGCUGCUCCUAGUACGAGAGGACCGGAGUGGACGCAUCACUGGUGUUCGGGUUGUCAUGCCAAUGGCACUGCCCGGUAGCUAAAUGCGGAAGAGAUAAGUGCUGAAAGCAUCUAAGCACGAAACUUGCC
rnacentral:rRNA from 1 species